rnacentral:rRNA from 1 species
GACGAACGCUGGCGGCGCGCCUAACACAUGCAAGUCGAACGAGCGAGAGAGAGCUUGCUUUCUCAAGCGAGUGGCGAACGGGUGAGUAACGCGUGAGGAACCUGCCUCAAAGAGGGGGACAACAGUUGGAAACGACUGCUAAUACCGCAUAAGCCCACAGGUCGGCAUCGACCAGAGGGAAAUGGAGCAAUCCGCUUUGAGAUGGCCUCGCGUCCGAUUAGCUAGUUGGUGAGGUAACGGCCCACCAAGGCAACGAUCGGUAGCCGGACUGAGAGGUUGAACGGCCACAUUGGGACUGAGACACGGCCCAGACUCCUACGGGAGGCAGCAGUGGGGAAUAUUGCACAAUGGGGGAAACCCUGAUGCAGCGACGCCGCGUGGAGGAAGAAGGUCUUCGGAUUGUAAACUCCUGUUGUUGAGGAAGAUAAUGACGGUACUCAACAAGGAAGUGACGGCUAACUACGUG